rnacentral:rRNA from 1 species
CACGUAGGGCGCAAGCGUUGUCCGGAAUUAUUGGGCGUAAAGAGCUCGUAGGCGGUCUGUUACGUCUGCUGUGAAAACCCGGGGCUUAACCCUGGGCUUGCAGUGGAUACGGGCAGACUAGAGGCAGGUAAGGGAGAAUGGAAUUCCCGGUGUAGCGGUGAAAUGCGCAGAUAUCGGGAGGAACACCGGUGGCGAAGGCGGUUCUCUGGGCCUGACCUGACGCUGAGGAGCGAAAGCGUGGGGAGCGAACAGG